UCUUUAUUACAAACAUAGGAAAAUAUAAGCAUAAACCCAUAGCUGCAGAACCCUGAACUCCAUGCACUAAGGCAAGUAAGCCCUGCCCCUCCCCACAACCCAAACGGCAGCUCAACUGCCCUCAGGAGUUGCGAAAGAUACCGUGUGCUCUUGAAAUCUGCACCCAAGGGAUUAAAAAAGGAAGGGGAAGGGCAGAGCAGUCACUUCUGGUUCCUACUCCCAGACUCAUUAGACAAAUCACUCCACUCUGCGGGGGCGUCCCUCACUAAGGAGUGCCCACCAACGGAGCUCAGUCCACGGGGAGGAAAGUUUUUUCUACAAAUCUCUCUUAAAAAUACAUUAAGUAAUAUUUUUGAGAAUCAAGGUAAGAAAAUUAAGGUUCAAAGAAAUGAAAUAAUUUACCCAGUGUCUCCCAGCUAGUGAGCAACAGAACAAAAUUUAAACCCUCUGACUUCAAAUUCCUUGCUUCUGGCCUCCACCGCAAGCUGUCCCAGACCCCAUUCAGUGGCAGAGAAACUAGAAAGGUCAAGUUAGAUGAUCUAUUCUAGGGAGUAUGUUCGCUCUCAGAUGGAGCAGCUGCUCCUGACAGCUGGAUAUUGAGGGGAAGAUAGAGGAAGUGAGAGUUGAUAAAGGAAGGGCUCCCUCUGUGGAGAGCCGGUUUAGGGAAAUAGUCUUGGGAAGAGAUAGCAGUGCCACAGGGCGGUCGGCCGCACGAGGGCAGCAGAGCGCAGGAAUGCCCUUUCCCCCGUGCUGGCUGUGUUGGUAGGGGAGGACUCAGUUUCACCUGAAACUGUGCAGACUUCAAACAAUUCUACCAACCCUGAAGUUAGAAGCCACAUCAGCUUUCCAGUUCAGGGCCAGUACCUUAUGAACAGCUUGCAAGAAGAUGUAUAACCAGCGUCCUAUGGCCACCCAAUACAUGAAACGUCAGAUUAAUUCCUCUUCCCUGUUUUAUUGAAACUUCCUAAUUUUAACAGCACAACCCUGCAUUUACAAAGUCUUGAUUUUUUUGUCUCCCUAUCAUGAAAAGUGGCACACAACUAGCCUUGCUGAAAGACGAAAUGAGUAAAUAAUUGACCACAGAUUCAACAAGUCUUUGGUAUGGGGAGAAAACAGGCUGUGAACUCAACCGUGGAACCAGAACCAACCUGUAGGAUUCCCAAAGGAAAUAGUUUUCCAGAUAGGAGAACACUGCAGCCUCAUCCAGGGAAUGUGGUGAGAGGGUAGAGCCUGAAGCAGACAUGCUGGCAACCGGAGCAGAAGUCAGCUGCCACAUUGUGGGGACUCUCAAGUGGAACUGUGGAAAAGCCAUGAGGAGAGGAACCAGCUUGCUAGACAUAGACAAUCCACCUUGAAAGUAAAUCCUCCAGCACCAUCAAACCUCCAGAUGAAUGCAGACCCAGCAACUUUGUGAGAGACCUCAAGCAUGACCCGCCCAACCAAGAUGCUCCUGAAUUCCUGACCCAUCGAAACUACAAGAGAUAAUAAAGAAUUAUCAUGUUAAG